CUGGGCGCCUCCUUCUUCCUGCGGCCUGGAAAUCGCCUGGCGGAGACCCGUCCUUGACCGCCCUUGGGGUGACCGCACCGUGGGAGUUCCUGAAGAAACAUAAGGCAUAGACCCAACCCUCGGAAACCAUUGGGGAAAGAAAAGAGUCAAAGCAGAAACAAAGGACAGAGCGAGCCAGUGUGGCAAAAGUCUCCAGCCUGAGUAAAUGUAAUUGGACAAAUUGAUCGUGCAACCUGGGUCAAGCCUGGAGUGUUCUAUCAGAGAACCCAUCUCGUUGCGUCUGAUAUGACAAACCCACCGGUGAAAGUGCCUCGUGUCACUGACACUUUAGGGCAUUGUCUGACAAGCUUCUUCAAGGUCAUCUGACUCUCUGGAUACGGAAUUAUAGCUUUGUUUCUUUCACUAUUUUCUAUUGAUUAGGACCCAGAAACCUUACAACUCUGUAAACUU